AAAUGCUAUGAAAUUGUCAGAAAGAUAAGAAAACAGAAAAUUGCUGAUCAUUGAGCUGAAAUCCAUCAAGAUGAGAACUACAUUUCUAAUUCUCCUUGUGUUAGGAGAAGCUUUUUCUUGGAGAAUUGAGUUGGGUGACGAUAAUUCCUGUGUUGGAAGAUGUGGAGACUCGUUGGAUACUAGUAAACCCUGUCAAU